GAUGAACGCUGGCGGCGUGCCUAAUACAUGCAAGUCGAGCGAACGGACGAGAAGCUUGCUUCUCUGAUGUUAGCGGCGGACGGGUGAGUAACACGUGGAUAACCUACCUAUAAGACUGGGAUAACUUCGGGAAACCGGGGCUAAUACCGGAUAAUAUUUUGAACCGCAUGGUUCAAAAGUGAAAGACGGUCUUGCUGUCACUUAUAGAUGGAUCCGCGCUGCAUUAGCUAGUUGGUAAGGUAACGGCUUACCAAGGCAACGAUGCAUAGCCGACGGGAGAGGGGGAUCGCCCACACUGGAACGUAGACACGGUCCAGACUCCUACGGGAGGCAGCAGUAGGGAAUCUUCCGCAAUGGUCGAAAGCCUGACGGAGCAACGCCGCGUGAGUGAUGAAGGUGUUCGGUGCGGAAAACUCGGUUAUGAGUGAAGAACAUAUGUGUAAGUAACUGUGCACAUCUUGACGGUACCUAAUCAGAAAGCCACGGCUAACUACGUG
rnacentral:rRNA from 1 species